rnacentral:rRNA from 1 species
UACGAAGGGUGCAAGCGUUGUUCGGAUUUAUUGGGCGUAAAGCGCGCGCAGGCGGGCAAAUAAGUCAGAUGUGAAAUCUCGGGGCUCAACCCCGAAACUGCGUCUGAAACUGUUUGUCUAGAAUCUUGGAGAGGGAGGGAGAAUAUCGCAUGUAGGGGUAGAAUCCGUAGAGAUGCGAUGGAAUAUCGGAGGCGAAGGCGCCUUCCUGGACAAGUAUUGACGCUGAGGUGCGAAAGCGUGGGGAGCAAACAGG